CAUGAGAAAAGGACAGCAUCGUGGUCGCUUUUAUGAGCUAUUUGAGGGAGGUGGGUGGAGGCGGCUUGAGUGGGAUUUGCUUCAAGAGAAAUGGGAAAAGUUGAGAAAGAACUUCUGCAAGUUCUGAGAAGGCUUGAGGGAGGAGGAGGUGCAGAGAGCCGGCACAAUAUGUGAACAGAGAAAAGAAAGAGAGAAGAACAACGGAUAGCAGAAUUCACAAAUUCACUGUUGUGUGUGUGUGACGCAGUAGGACGUGUACAGAGACUCAAAUGCACUUACUUUAUCUCCUCCUCUGUUCUCCCCCUCCUUCCCCUCAACCCUGCAAUACACAUUGCCAUACACUUCAGCUUGUUAUCGUGUAGGUUUGUGCGUGUGUGUAUAUGUGUCUAGAUUCAGAGGAAUACGCUGGGCCUCUUUUAAUGUCAAUGUUGCACUGCAGAACAAACUGCACUUGAAGAUUGGAACAUGUACUACACACCCUCACAGUCGCUACGCCGUAUCUUCUACUAUUCAGCCAAAUGAGCAAACAUGACAUGUGGGCAAUGAUAAGAAACCCGUUUUGCUGUCUAUGAACUCUGUGGAAACUAUAAACUCACUGUGUGUCUUACUUCCCCACGGUGUCUGGCCACGUCUUUCUAAUUUAGUAAUUGUUUAUUUAAUACUUACUAUAUGUAUGUGCAUAGGACACUGUGUCAUCAGGGCAGCACAUAAUAGAAACAACCUGCUCCACACACAUUGGUUGUGUUUGUACUACUGAUGAUAACCUCAAAUUCCAAGCGUUGUUUUUCUUAUAUCUUUAAUGAUGCGACACUCCCUAAUUAUCUAAGAUAGCAAGAUUGUAUGGCAGUAAUAGCACCCAUAUGUUAUGUGAGGACAAAUGCAUUACUUGCCCAAUUUAUCAUGACCCCUUUGUUGUUACAGUAUCAUGUUGCACUCUCCUUGAUUUGCUUAUUCCCACCACCUCAAUGCAUGUCCUUGUCAUUCUAUCGUUCUAUGGGUUCAAUUGAAAAGCCUGCCUUGUGAAAUUGCACAAUGUUGUCAUGAAUGAAGCAUGGCCCUCCUCUCACAUCUAUAAAAUCAGCUUUGCAGCAGCUGUGGAGGGACAGCGAAGGAGCCGAGCCAUUUUAAUGCAGUUACACAGGAAAUGUACCCUGAGGGCUCGGCUGCACUCCACUGCGUUCAUUCACUGUCUGGAUCACGGAUACUGUUUAGCGGCCAGUCAAAUGGAAAAGUGCAAUAGCAACUUCUGCUAAACUAUGAUUACUAAUUGCAAUGCAAAAAAAACAAAAAUAGACAAAUACAAGGCUUAACAUGUUUCAUUAUUUUGCAAUAUUUUACAUAACAUUUGAAUAUUUUACAUUUUUAAGAAUGAUGGCAAAAAGAUAAUUGAAAGACAAAUGUCAAUCAAUACACACGAGUACACAUCUUUUGAAUAGAUCAUGUGGUUUGGUCCUUGUACAGAAGCAGAGCUGCCAUUCAGGUCGUCGGGAUAUUUUUAUAGUUCAUGUCUCACGUUUUAAUGACUUCCCGGUUUUCCUGACAAGCAUGAGCAAAUACUAAGAUAUGACUGAUUUAUAUGUUUAUGGUGUAAUGAAAUAUGAAGCAGAAAACCAUCAGCUUACAGGGAAUGUUGUGUGAACAUAUUUUUAAAUUUGUUGUAGGGUUCUAAAUUUAAUUUGUAAACAUCUUCACUUUUAUUAAUGAUGAGAAAAUAAGGAAAUAAUGAUUCAAAAUAAAACAUUGAGUUUAACCUUUAAAGAAUAAACUACAUAAAAUACCUAAUUUCAUCAUGCCUAAUUGAUAACAUGUAAAAAAUAAAAGAGCAUGCAACUAUUGCAGAAUACCCACAAGACAUCUCUCUUUCUUCCACACUCUUUUUUUGUGACCAGUCAGGUCGGGACUCUAAGAUCAGCUUAUCACAGCCGUUGUGUGAGAGAUAACAGCCAGGAGAGAGCGCAUGAUUUCCUGAGCAACAGUGACAACAGCAAACAAACAGCAGACAAAUACAAUCCCACACAGAAACACAUUAUCAAGUGUUACUUCCUAGGAUUGCUUAUCUGCCGUUCUUCAAUGUAACAUCCUUUCUCUUUCUCUGUUCACGCCUUUUUAACACUGUUCCUGCUGCAUUAUAGAUACAAGGGGACAUCGAAGUUCAAACAAUGUCCCUUUCUGCCCUGUGAAAGGAGAAUUUGCCUCGGUGAUGGACGACGUCGGACAAAUGUGGGGCUGGAUUUUGUCAUUUAAAAACUACAAGACACUUCUGCUCCCCUCCUGAUUGCCAAAUGAGGGAACUCAGAAUGGGGCAGCAGAGUCACCAGAGUGCUGAUCUCCCUGCCAUCAUCGUGACUGCAAUGCAAGCCAAGGUCUCUUUCAAGGGCACACAUCAUAUCUGCAAAGUCACAUGCAAGGCAGGGAGAGGCUCUAUGGGCGUUUUCAGUUGAAGCAACGAGAGCAGUACCGAGGAAAAUAAAAUGCGUUGAGCCUGGAGGUUUGUUGGAUUCAUCCAACACCAAAUAAAUAGUUCACACUCUUCUGUGGUUGUAAAUGUUUCAGAUUAAAACAAAUAAAAUGAAGAGCACAAUGUUGAGUAUAGCUAAAGUGUGCCUUAUAUUACAGUCCUUGUUUUUUCAUAAAGGUAAUGUUCUACUAGGCAAUACUCUCACUGUGCAGUUUGUA